UUAUGGCCACAUCUUGUUGAAAAAACCGGUUCCUGUAUGAUCACCGAAGUUAAGCAGCAUCGAACCUGAUUAGUAUCUAGAUGGAUGAUCACUUGAGAAUACCAGGUUCUGUA